ensembl:piRNA 21ur-11337 ncRNA
UUUGGUUUUCCAUUGCUUUCA